rnacentral:lncRNA from 1 species
AGCAGCUCAACGCCGGUUUGACUGAAGGAUAUGACAAAAGGGCAAGGCAGGGGAGUCUUUCUCUCUACUCUCUCUCUUUCUCUCUCUUUCUCUUAUUUCUACAUUUCCCCCUUGCACUAACCUGAAAUUACAGGUUAGGGACAAUGUACAAAAUGGAACUAUUGAAAAUGUACUCCAAUACAUGGAAGACAUUCUCCCCUGUGACUCUGCUCCCCAAGAUUACGGGGAUGAAAAACAACAUCUCCCACCUGGAAAGUAGGCCACAGCGCAACACAAUCUAUCCUCCUUUGAAUCAACUUUUGUUCAGGAUAAAUGAGAGGCUUUUAUAUUGGAUUUUUGUAUUUUUUUUUCAGGUGAGAACAACACCACUUUUCCCCUGUGGCCUUAAUAUUAUACAUGCUACUACCUCUCCAUAUAAUGAAGACUGUAUUAGUUGUCAA